rnacentral:sRNA from 1 species
GCAGCGGCUCCUGGACCGCAUCCACAGCAUCACCGCCGAGAGGCUCAUCUUCAGCCAUGCUGUGCAGAUGGUACGGGACAGACAGACACCGGUGGGGCAGGGGCCAGGAACUUCCAGGCCGGCUGUCUCCACUGGGAGGGGACCUUGAUGCCCACAGCUUGGUGAGACUUUGGGGGGUGUCACUUCUGGAGAUCUUGAAAUGACAGCAUUAUGCCCCCCCAGCCUCCUGCAGACGCUCACAGCUCGGCUGGGUGCAUCCUUGAUUGUACGGGUGCCGUGGCCCAUGUGCAUCCUGCCAUGCCUCGCCCCGACUCAGUUUCCCCAAUUGUAAAAUGAGAGACUUGGUCUUCAGGCCUUGUAGUCAGGUGUCAGCCUCCAGAAGCAGCACCUGGUCCCGGACAACCUGCCUGGAAGUGUGGUGCACUCAGGUGGUACCGUGGGCACGGAAUCCCUGCUUGGGCUCUGAAGAGCUCCCUCUGCCUCUGAGGUGGGGCCCCCUUUUUGUUUAUUUUUUUUAAUUUUUAUUUUUUUAAGAGAGGGUCUUGCACUGUUGCCCAGGCUGAAGUGUAGUGUAGCCGCUAACUCCUGGGCUGAAGUGAUCCUCUUGCCUCAGCUUCCCAAGAUGCUGGGUAUUACAGGCAAAAACUCAUGAGUGCCUGAGUCUCCUUUUUUAAGAAAAUUUAUGCAUGUAGUAAAAAUCCCGUCUGAACAAACAUGGGAAAAGUCAGCCUCCCUUCUGCCCCCCUUCCCACCCAGGCAGGCCAGGCAGCAGCAGUAAUGACACUGACUGCGCGGCGGGCACUCUGUUGUCCUGGGGCCGGGCCGACAGUGCUGGCCAGGGUCAUCUGGUUCCAGGCAGCGUCUCCCGUUGGCCCUGUGACCAUCCCCUCUGCACAGCAGGCUGCACCAGCACUUACGUCCCCACGUCACUGUCCUGAGCGCCUAUCUGCCACCCCUGGGCCGCUGCCGUGGGUGCAAGGCAGCCCUUGCUGGGAGGGAGUGGGUGAGCUGGCCCUGUCCAGCCUCUGUCCUCACCCCCAGGUGCAGUCGGCUGCCCUGGACGAGAUGUUCCAGCACCGUGAGGGCUGCGUCCCGCGCUACCACAAGGCCCUGCUGCUCCUGGAGGGGCUGCAGCACAUGCUCUCGGACCAGGCCGACAUCGAGAACGUCGCCAAGUGUGAGUGCCAGGCUGGGCUGGGGGCUGGGGGCUCUGGGCGUCUCCCUCACGCUCCCCUCUCCCUCCACAGGCAAGCUGUGCAUUGAGCGGAGACUCUCGGCGCUGCUGACUGGCAUCUGUGCCUGACCUUUCUGGCCUGGCUGGGCCCCUGGUCCUGCCGAGCCCUGCAGAGUGGGCUGUGUGUGCAGGGUGGGCUCUGUGUGCUGGCUGGACUCCUCGGGACAAGCGCAUGGCGCUGAUCGCUGGUGCUGAGCCCUGCCCUGGGCCCCAAGGACAGUCAGCCUGCUGGCCUCCCUGCAGCUCACGGGGCAGAACCAGCACAUCUGGAGCCACACAGCUUGGACAGUCAGCCUGCUGGCCUCCCUGCAGCUCACGGGGCAGAACCAGCACAUCUGGAGCCACACAGCUUGGGGGUGUGUCCCAUCUUUUACAGGUGGGGAUCACAAUUUCUGCCCUCCGGCUGCCUGGCACAGCAGGCAUGGGUGCCACCACCCUCUAGCCCCAGGGCAGCCCCGGAGGACAGGCAAGGGCCUGAGACCGCUGCCGACUCAAAGCCAAAGUGAGCUCCUGCUUAGGACAGGUCAGCAGGCACUGUGCCCAGGAAGAGCCUGCAGCCUCGGCAUCCCCCAGUCUCCAGGAGCCUCUCCCUCCGAGAUACCCACCCAGCUUUGUCAAUCACCCAAGCACUUUAUGCAGAUAGAGACAGAACCUGGACCUCCCCAGGGACUGCUGGGCAGUGAUUCCUGGCAGUGACCCGGUGUUUGUACAUACACAUAUGCGGACACAUGCCAGGGCCCCCAAGCCUGAGCACCGGACCACGUUGCUGCCCAGGUCUGGACCUCGGGGAGAACUGGCUCCCGGGGGUGUGGGGCCCUGCGCUAGAGGCAGAGGCAGUUCUUUGUUCAAGCGUUCCUCUAGGGACCGGCAGCAGAGGCACCGUGUUCUCUCAGCCCUGGAUAAGUCUUGUAAUCUUUCACACUUUAUUCCUAAAAUGUGUCUUAUUUUUAUGCAGCUCAUUUUUCUUUAAAGGCGAAAACUUGUAGGUGUUUAAGAAUUGGUUUUGGGAGGGCGAGGACUGGGCCAGGUUAGAGGCAGAUGGUGCAGGGGCGUGUGGCGGGCGGGUGA